UCCCUGUGAUGAACAUUUUAGUAAUCUAAGCACACAUUCAAUUGGUGCUCCCUCUUCAGCAUUGUGCUGUGGGGUUGAAGGAACCAAUGAUUCCCUGUGCACUGUUGAGAUAUGGCAUUCUGAGGGAU
rfam:Brachypodium distachyon strain Bd21 chromosome 4, whole genome shotgun sequence.